rnacentral:rRNA from 1 species
GAUGAACGCUGGCGGCGUGCCUAAUACAUGCAAGUCGAACGAAACUUCUUUAUCACCGAGUGCUUGCACUCACCGAUAAAGAGUUGAGUGGCGAACGGGUGAGUAACACGUGGGCAACCUGCCCAAAAGAGGGGGAUAACACUUGGAAACAGGUGCUAAUACCGCAUAACCAUAGUUACCGCAUGGUAACUAUGUAAAAGGUGGCUAUACUACCGCCUUUGGAUGGGCCCGCGGCGCAUUAGCUAGUUGGUAGGGUAAAGGCUUACCAAGGCAAUGAUGCGUAGCCGAAUUGAGAGGUUGAUCGGCCACAUUGGGACUGAGACACGGCCCAAACUCCUACGGGAGGCAGCAGUAGGGAAUCUUCCACAAUGGGCGAAAGCCUGAUGGAGCAACGCCGCGUGGGUGAAGAAGGUCUUCGGAUCGUAAAACCCUGUUGUUAGAGAAGAAAGUGCGUGAGAGUAACUGUUCACGUUUCGACGGUAUCUAACCAGAAAGCCACGGCUAACUACGUG